UACGAAGGGGGCUAGCGUUGUUCGGAUUUACUGGGCGUAAAGCGCACGUAGGCGGAUCUUUAAGUCAGAGGUGAAAUCCCAAGGCUCAACCUUGGAACUGCCUUUGAUACUGGGGAUCUUGAGUCCGGGAGAGGUGAGUGGAACUGCGAGUGUAGAGGUGAAAUUCGUAGAUAUUCGCAAGAACACCAGUGGCGAAGGCGGCUCACUGGCCCGGUACUGACGCGUGAGGUGCGAAAGCGUGGGGGAGCAAACAGG
rnacentral:rRNA from 1 species